UUGGCUUAGAAGCAGCCAUCAUUUAAAGAAAGCGUAAUAGCUCACUGGUCGAGUCGGCCUGCGCGGAAGAUGUAACGGGGCUAAACCAUGCACCGAAGCUGCGGCAGCGACACUAUGUGUUGUUGGGUAGGGGAGCGUUCUGUAAGCCUGUGAAGGUGUACUGUGAGGUAUGCUGGAGGUAUCAGAAGUGCGAAUGCUGACAUAAGUAACGAUAAAGCGGGUGAAAAGCCCGCUCGCCGGAAGACCAAGGGUUCCUGUCCAACGUUAAUCGGGGCAGGGU
rnacentral:rRNA from 1 species